rnacentral:rRNA from 1 species
GAUGAACGCUGGCGGCGUGCCUAACACAUGCAAGUCGAGCGAACAGACGAGGAGUUUGCUCCUCUGACGUUAGCGGCGGACGGGUGAUUAACACGUGGAUAACCUACCUAUAAGACUGGGAUAACUUCGGGAAACCGGAUCUAAUACCGGACAAUAUAUUGAACCUCAUGGUUCAAUAGUGAAAUACGGUUUUGCUGACACUAAUAGAUGGUUCCGAGCCGCAUUAGCUAGUUGGUAAGGUAACGGCUUACCAAGGCAACGAUGCGUAGCCGACCUGAGAGGGUGAUCGGCCACACUGGAACUGAGACACGGUCCAGACUCCUACGGGAGGCAGCAGUAGGGAAUCUUCCGCAAUGGGCGAAAGCCUGACGGAGCAACGCCGCGUGAGUGAUGAAGGUCUUCGGAUCGUAAAACUCUGUUAUUAGGGAAGAACGAAUGUGUAAGUAACUAUGCACGUCUUGACGGUACCUAAACAAAAAGCCACGGCUAACUACGUG